AGAGUUUGAUCCUGGCUCAGAACGUACGCUGGCGGCACGCCUAACACAUGCAAGUCGAACGAAGUAGCAAUACUUAGUGGCAGACGGGUGAGUAACAUGUAGGUAUCUGCCCUUUGGCCUGGAAUAACACGAGGAAACUUGUGCUAAUACCGGAUAAGUCUUUACGGAGAAAGCUUUAUGCACCAUUGGAUGAGCCUGCACUUGAUUAGUUUGUUGGUGGGGUAAUGGCCUACCAAGACUGUGAUCAAUAGCUGAUUUGAGAGGAUGAUCAGCCACAUUGGGACUGAGACACGGCUCAAACUCCUACGGGAGGCAGCAGUGGGGAAUCUUGCACAAUGGAGGAAACUCUGAUGCAGCGAUGCCACGUGAGUGAAGAAGGCCCUUGGGUUGUAAGGCUCUUUCGUCGGGGAAGAAAAUGACUGUACCCGAAUAAGAAGGUCCGGCUAACUUCGUGCCAGCAGCCGCGGUAAU
rnacentral:rRNA from 1 species